GCUAAAUAAAUACAUCUGAAUUAAACACGAUAAUCUAGAAAGAGACAUUCACACGCACAUUCCAACAUCCCGCGAAACACUUAUUCCUACAUUUCGCCUACCCGGCCUACGUUUGCCUACCCGCUCGACGACAUAUCGCAUUCAACAUCAACAAUGUAUCAAAAAUAUCAUAAUAUUCACUUUUAUCAAUUUUCGAUUCCCGUCCCCAAAUCUAUUUCAACCAAC
rnacentral:lncRNA from 1 species